rnacentral:lncRNA from 1 species
GAUCCCGACUCAGAUUGAAAAAGCAGAGGAUGGUCACUGCCUUCCAGGUCUGAGGCUGUCUCCCAGAAACUUCAUUCCUCGCUUCGCCUUGGUUCUCCAUCACUUUCUGAGUCCUACAGGAGGAAAGUGCUAUUGAAGAUGCGGCGCGUAUGGCGUGAAGUUCUGGGGCUGGGAGAAGCUGCCCCACUACUUCCGGGCGGCCUUGCCUGCAGGGAGCAG